GUCAUCUCACCGCGACCGCCUCUGUCUCCAUGGAGACGCGGCGCCCCGGAGCCCUCCCGAGCUCCAUAGAACAGCGGGAGGGGUCCGGGAACGGCGGCUCCGUAGAGCGGAGGGAGGGGGUCGGGAACGGCGGCUCCGUAGAGCGGAGGGAGGGGGUCGGGAAAGGCGGCUCCGUAGAGCGGAGGGAGGGGGCCGGGAACGGCGGCUCCGUAGAGCGGAGGGAGGGGUCGGGAACGGCGGCUCCGUAGAGCGGAGGGAGGGGGCCGAGAAUGGUGCAGGCAGGUGCGGUAACCGAGCACCCCCCCCCCCGCAGCCCGUGUGCCCCUGUCCUAUUGCGGCUGAGCUCGGCUGAGCGCAUCCCUAUGGAGCAUCCCGGAGCCAUGGAUGUGCCAUGGAUGUGCCAUGGAUGUGCCAUGGACACGGGGCUGAAGAGCUGCGGGAACAGGGAUGGGAGGAGCUGAUCCCAGCGCUGCCGGUGCCGGAUGACACCAUCCAAGUGCGAACUCAUCCCAAGUAACUCCAGGCUCUGUUCCCUUCUCCAGCCGGGAUAACAUGGAGCCGAUUCAUGGCUCCGACCUCGGGCUCCUGACUGGAAGCAAAGCCGUUCAGAGGAUCCUGUGCCCUAUGGCUGCCCAGCUCUGCCACCUCAUCCUGGCCCUGGAAGGGGAGCAUGGGAUCUGUCCCGAUAUAGGGCAGGAGGCAGAAGCGUUGGCUCAAGCCACAGAGGAACUCGCUGCUGCUGCAAUGAGGCUGGCUGAGGAUGCUGGAGAUGAGCUCCUGGAGGAGACACAUCCUGCGGCCGAGGCGCUGGUGCUGGCGGGCAGGAAGGUGGUGCUGGCAGCCGGCAGGGUCCGGGCACAGCCACACAGCCCUGGCCACAGGGAGGAGCUGACAGCGGCUGCACGGGGGGUACUGAUGGAGACAGCGAAGAUCCUGCGGUUGGGAGAUGCUGCUGGGACAAGGAGCAUCCUGCAGGCUGCCCACUGCCUUCUGGAGUGCCUGAACAUGCUGCAGGGCACAGGGGAUGCACCAGGAGCACCGGAUCCUUCCCAAGCCUUGUCCGAUGCUGUGCUGGUGCUGAGCAGCCUGACAGCACAGCGCAUAGAGGGAAUGGGUGAGUGUCCUCGACGGCAGAGCCUGGCCCGAGCCCUGCAGCUCCUGCAGCAGCAGCUCCCGAUGCUCCAUGCGGCCAUGGACAGGGAUAUCAGAUGCUCCCGGGAUCAGGAACUCGGAUGCUCCCAGGAUCAGGAACUCAGCCUCUCCAAGGAUAACACCUUCCGGAUGAUGGAGAACACCAUCACGGAGCUCACAUCCCUGCUCAUGGAUGGUACCCAUAGUGAGGAGCCUCAGGACACAAGCGGGACCUUCACCCAUCACAUACACAGGCUGCAGGCUCUGCUGUCUGCCCCGGACCCCCUGCUGCUGUCUGACAACACCCUCAGUGCUCACCUGGGAGCUGUUGUUCUCCAUUGCAUGCUCCUGGCAGAGGCAUCGAGGCCGGAGCAGAGGCUGGAGCUGGUCCAGCACUGCCAGGCUCUGCUGCGGCUCUGGAACAGCAUCUGCAGCCCAGGGGGGCACCAGGAGGGGCAGUGCCACAGCAUGAGGCAGGAGGUGCAGAGCCUGCAGCAGGCAGUGCUCACAGCCACACUGUGCCAGCUCCUGGAUGCCUGUGCCGAGGAUGAGGAUCCCCUCCGGGUGCUGGUUGAAGGUGCCCUCAGCCUCGCUGCCUCCGGUGCCUGCCCUGCAGGGCCAGGGGGGUUCCUACAGCAGCUGCACCCCCUCAUUGCUGCUGUCCUCAGGCAGGGCAUGGGGCUGCUCAGAGGGGCAGAGCUGCUCCUGGCGCUGUGCACUGAGCCCCACACUGCUGCUGAGGUCCUGGAGCUGCGGCAGCACAUGGGGACGCUCCUGGCGCGCAUCCCUGCCCUGCUCAUCACCAUGGGCACCAAUGGGGCUGGGGCAGGUGGUGCUGAGCAGCUGCAGUCCCUGCACCAGGCCUGGGCUGCAGCAGUGCAGAGCCUCCUGUGGUGCUGUGCGGACACCACCGGCACACGUCGGUUCCUCACGGUGGCCAUGCAGGAGAUGGGCAAGCACCAGGAAUGCUGCCAACGGGCCCUGGGGAGCCAGGACCCCGAGGGGUUCUCAUGGCACAUCACCCACCUCAGCCGCUGGGCACGGUGGGUGGUGGGAGCCAGCACCAGGUAUGUGGAUGGAGCCACCGAUCCCAUCUUCAGGAAUGGUUUGCUGGUCUGGAUCCAGCAGCUGUCGAGCUCUAUCCCGGAGCUGGAAGCGGCUGCAGUGCUCUGUGCACAGAGCAUCUCCUGCCUCCGGAGCAGGGAUGUGUUUUCCAAGGCACUGAGCUCCCUGAUGGAUGCUGCUCAGCGUGUGCAGGACGGGCUGGAUGGGUCCAACCACCCCGACCUCCUCAGCCCCCUGCGGGAACACGUGCGAGGAGUGGAUGUGACAGAGGGGGUUGAGCUCAGCCCAUCUCCUGCGGGGCUAAAACCCACUAUGGACUCAGCUGUGCUGCUGCAGGAACACUCCUUCCCUGCUCCAUCUUCACCUGCAGGGUGCUCCGCACCAAGGGAUGGAUCCUUACACCCGGUGAUCACAGCUCUGCUGGCAGCAGCAGCAGCCCAGGACACAGCCUCACUCCAUGCUGCAUGCUCAGCCUUGCUCCAGCUCACCCAUGGCUUUGUGUGUGCAGCAAAGGAAGCACUGCCCCUCUCCGAGCAUCCCCAUAGGGACAGCCUGGAGCAGGCUCCAGCUAUGGAGCUGCUGACCACACAUGUACUGAGCCUGGCCAGAGCUGCAGCCCCACAGCAGUGCCCCUGCCCCACUGACCUGCUCCAUGCAGCACGCAGGCUCUCAGACAGGCUCUGUGACACCAUGGAGGGCCUGGCAGCCGUGGCAGGGCCCUGGUAUGUGCUGUCCCAGCAGGUCCUUGCCUUCACCGUGGCCGCUGACCCCCUGAGGGGCAGGCAGGCUGUGGCUGACACCAUGGUGGGUAUAGCAGCAGCGGUCCGGUUCGUGGCACACACCAUGGGAAGCUCCAUUUGCCCCCAUGAGGGUUGGCAGAGCUUCCUGCAGGUGCAGAGCACGUUUGCCCGUGCUCAGGUGAGCACCAACGCGUUGCUGGAGGAGGCAGCAUCCUCAGAGGGCUCCGUGCUGGGCAGGGCCAGGCUGGAGCUGCUGUGUGUGCAAUGGGCUGUGAGCACACGUGUGCUGCUGGCGGCUCUGGACCAGUUCAUCGGCAGGGAUGUGCUGCUGGGGGAGCUGGGGAGCGCGGUGAGGAACCGGUUCUGUCCCCACAGCAUCCUGGCUGCUGUGUCUGAGCGCUCCCUAAGGCUGCAGGAGGCUGCCCGGCUCUCAUCCUGCCCUGGAUCCCAUGGGCACAGUGAGAUCCUGGUGCUCCGGGAGGAGAUCCGGGUGCUGAUGGAGGCGCUGCUGGAGGCCUCCAGCACCAUCCUGCUGUCCCCACUGCCUCACGCCAGCCUGUGCGCUCGCUGGGAGCUCCUGCAGAGGGACCUGGGCCUCAGGGUCAAGGUGCUGCUGAUCCACCUGGAGAAGGUCAAUGCUGAGCACUUGAGGGUGAUCAGAGACGUUGUUGGACCUGCAUUGAUGCCUCUGUCCCAGCAGGAGAGGGAAAGGAGCAAAGAGGCCUUUGAAGAGAAAGCAAACAGGCUAAUGGCAAAUGUACAGUGGGUCACAACCACCCUCCACCAUGUGCUGGAGGCCAACACUCAACCGGAGCUGCAGGCAAACCUGCUCUCCAUGGCAGAGCACCUCCUGCUGCUCACAUCCAAUGCCAUGGGCAGUGCCAGGCAGCUCCUUCAGAGCCCCAGGGAUGGAGAGCACCUCCACCUGGAGAGCAUCAUCUGGUGCUGGGCUGCAGGGGCACAGUACCUGCUCACACAGCUGCAGGCUGUGCAGGGCAUCGGUGGGGAUGUCCUGGAGCUCAUCAGGCAUCACCUGCAGGACACAGGGGACCGGAGCUUCCCAAGGCAACACAGCAGCACAGCCAGGCUCUUCCCAGCCCUGGAGCCUCAGAGCCACACCAGGGCAAUGGAGACCUGCCCAAGAACGAGUGGAGCUGCCACGGAGGCACCUGCAAUGCAGCCCAAGGGUCCUGCCAGCACCAGUGUGAAGCACGAGACAGAAAGCAGUGACAUGGGGCAGGGAGGCCCCAGCAGGAUGUCCCAGGUCACCAAGGACACAGCCACAAGGAUGCUCCACAUGACUCAGUUCCUCAGGAGGAAGGGCCCCAUCACAAGCAAGGACCAGCUGGUUGCCUGCGCGAGGCAGAUGGCUCUGCAUGGGCAGCAGUUUGUCACCUUUGGCCGUGCCCUGGCCAGGCUCUGCCUGGACACGAGGUGCUCCAUGGAGCUGCUGAGUGCCACCGAGCAGGCUCACACCAUCAGCAGCCAGCUCAGCAUCGUGGCCAGGGUAAAAGCAGUCACUGCAGAGAGCAAAUCCUCUUCUGAGCUGCUCGUGAGCAACACACAGAACCUGGUCCAGGCAGUUCUGCACAUCCUGAAGGCAGCUGAGGCAGCGUGUGUCAAAGGCCUGCGCCAGCCUCUGCCUGACACUGAGGAAGCAGCAGCAGCUGCUCUGUGCAUGCAGUGGAGAAGAAACCUGUUCCUGCACAGAGCCAAAGCAUCCUUCACCUCAGACAGGGAUGAACUGGGGCUGCGCAGGACUCGGACCACAGCUGAGCCCUCCCUGGUGGCAAUGGUGCAAGAACCACACACCAAGGACACCCCUGAGCACCCACGAGGUGUUAAAGGAGGUACAAUUAUGGGUGGCCACCUGUAGAAAGAGGAAGGGGCUUGUGCCUCCUUUUGGUGAGUGAACAGAGGAGAAUGAUGCCACAAACCAGGGCAGGCAGCCUGUGAUGUGGUACCUUCACUGUCCCAGCAGCUGCCAGUUCUGUGCUCUGCAGCACCCAAGAUGUGAACAGGAGGAGGUAGGACCACACUGGGAGCAGCAGCAGAUAUGGUUGGGGGGAAUAAGUAGGGCCAGGCCAAAGGGAAUGGCUUGAACCUGCCAGAACAGGGGAGACUGAGCUGAGCUCUGAGGCAGAAGCUGUUCCCUGGGAGGGUGCUGAGGCGCUGGCACAGGGUGCCCAGAGAAGCUGUGGCUGCCCCAUCCCUGGCAGUGCUCAAGGCCAGGCUGGACACAGGGGCUUGGAGCAGCUGCUCCAGUGGAAGGGGUCCCUGCCCGUGGCAGGGGUUGGAGCUGGAGGAGCUUUAAGGUCCCUUCAACACAAACCAGGUUGGGAUCCUAUGAAGGAUCAGGGGUUCUGUGAACAACCCAAUUACUCAUCUCCCACCCAAGAAAGCCACUGAGCUGGAAGGUCCUUCUCAGGCCCUGAUCUUUAGCACUUUAUCAACCUGUUCUGCAACCAUCCCCUUUUCUUCUCAGGGUAACAAUCCUAAAUACUGCACAGGAAGGGCAGCCAGAGAGGUAGAGCCCUGCAGCAGGCUCACACACUAAACAUGAAGUCAGGAGGGUAACAUGCACUACAGAAGCUGGAGGGAAGAUGCACUGAAUGAGAAGUGAGCCUAAGGGAGUUAAUUCAGGCAUCACCAAGAUCUGAAACACAAAACAGGAGUGCAAUUGUUCUGUUUGCAAGAAUAAAUGGAUUUCAUUUGCACUACGAAGGGUUUGUGUUGAGUCUUUUCAUCCCAGUAGGGAAAUACAAACCAGGCUUUUUGUUGUGGGGCAGCAAACCCCAGGCAGUGGCUGAGCAAUGCUCAGUCCUCCUGCAGUGCAGGAUCAGCCAAGACCAGACACCAACACCAACUCCUUCCCAUCUCCAGGGCUAGGAGUGGGGAGCAUUUUCCUGCCAAGAACUGAGACUUUCCUCCCCAAACCCCCUCAGCCCUGAGUAAGAUCCUCAAUGUAUCACUCACCUCAUAGCUAUGGGCUUCUGGAGUACCCAGGACCAACACCACAGCUGCUCCUGCUCUCCACUUCCAUGCUUCCAUAGCUCAGGGUGUGAGUUUCAAGCAUCCAAGGGGAAUGCUGCUCCAUGCCAGCACACUGCACUGCGGGAAGAGACAACACACACUGAAUCCAUCAGCAGAUCCGAUGUGACCUGCUCGGUGGCUGGAGCAGGACUGUCCCCACCGACAGCUCCAGCAUCUUCCCCAUAUCAGAUAGCUUCUUACUUGCACUGUAGGGAUGGAUCUCCUCUGUGUUUCAGGAGAGCAACAGCACAGCAGGGAAUCUGUAAGGAGUACACCCACAGGCAGAGGUGGAUGGAGGAGCAGCAGCAUCCUGCAGCCCCUGGUGCUGUAGCUGGGAAAUCCGGAGGCUGGAUCUGGCAGGAGGAAGGAAGGAAGCAGUUAACACAUGGAGACAAGAGGCUGCAAGCACCAGCUGCCCCCUUUCAGCUUACCUGUGCCCCUGCUGGUCCAGAAUGAAGGGUAUUGGACUGAAG
ensembl:lncRNA